rnacentral:tRNA from 1 species
UCCCUUGUAGCUCAGUCAGUAAAGAAACUGCUUGCAAUGCAGGAGACCUGGGUUUGAUUCCUGGGUAGGGAA